UGUUUACGGUGACCGUGACCGGAAACCUGCCGUCGGUAGAGAUUUGGUUCAACCACACGACUUUUAUCCAGAAUCUGAGCCAGAGGGAGAGGCUGCUGAAGAAGUUCAAACUCUACAACUGCAGCAGGACGUUUCUGAAUGGUGCUCCUGUGGAAACUGUGCAACCAUGCCCACAGAAGCUGAGAACAUCUGCUGCUAGGAGAUACCACAGGUUACCAGAUGGCUAUGGGAGAUCGUGGAAGAUUUACCAUGUAUGGUAGACCGUCCUGGGUUGGAGCCGCUCUGCCUCAAUGUGUUCUGCCUGCAACAUGUACCGCACUGACUAUGGUCCUUUACGGUUGAGAGGAAUACACCAAAUCUGGGUCGUCAUUCCAGCCUGCGUGGUCCUACGCAUCCAUGCCGUGUUUCCUGACGCCACAGGCCGGUAUGUGGGUUUUAGACUGGCCCAUGAUAGAACCGGGACACAGAGCUGGAUAUGACCUCCUCCUUCUCAGGCCGCUCCAACUGUGCAGUGAGGUCCUCUGGGAUGGGGAUGGCCAAAGCAGCUUCUGUGUAUGGUCCCAGGUCACAAAGACUUUUUCAAAUAUGAGGUCCACCACAUUCCCUGUUUGAUAAAACACAAAAGAUUUUGUUUA